rnacentral:rRNA from 1 species
AUGUAUCUACUUAUUGUCUUUUUGCCUUUGCUCGGUAGUUCCGUAGCCGGUUUUUUCGGACGUUUUCUAGGAUCUGAAGGAACCGCUAUAAUGACCACCACGUGCAUUUCAUUUUCUUCGAUCUUAUCUUUGAUUGCUUUUUAUGAAGGCGCACUGGGAGCUAGUGCUUGCUAUCUCAAAAUAGCUCCAUGGAUCUCAUCGGAAAUGUUUGAUGCUUCUUGGGGCUUCUUUGGCGACCGUGAAGUCACCGGAUGA